rnacentral:rRNA from 1 species
GACGUAGGUGGCGAACGUUAUCCGGAAUUAUUGGGCGUAAAGGGUGCGUAGGCGGCAUGAUAAGUUAUUGGCGGCAAAUCGAGGCUCAACCUCGUGGAAACUAAUAAUACUGUCUUGCUUGAGUGCAGAAGAGGUUAACGGAACUCCAUGUGGAGCGGUAAAAUGUGUAGAUAUAUGGAAGAACAUCAAUAACGGCGAAGGCAGUUAACUAUUCUGUUACUGACGUUGAAGCACGAAAAGCGUGGGGGAGCAAAAAAGG